CAGUCGCCACGGUAAUACGUAGGGUCCGAGCGUUGUCCGGAAUUAUUGGGCGUAAAGGGCUCGUAGGCGGUUUGUUGCGUCGGGAGUGAAAACCCAGGGCUUAACUUUGGGCUUGCUUUCGAUACGGGCAGACUUGAGGCAUUGAGGGGAGAACGGAAUUCCUGGUGUAGCGGUGAAAUGCGCAGAUAUCAGGAGGAACACCGGUGGCGAAGGCGGUUCUCUGGCAAUGUUCUGACGCUGAGGAGCGAAAGUGUGGGGAGCGAACAGGAUUAGAUACCCCUGUAGUCCCUGUCUCUUAUAC
rnacentral:rRNA from 1 species